UACGUAGGGACCGAGCGUUGUCCGGAAUCAUUGGGCGUAAAGAGCGUGUAGGCGGCCAAUUAAGUCCUGCGUGAAAUCUCGGGGCUCAACCCCGAGCGGUCGUGGGAAACUGGUUGGCUAGAGUGCGGGAGAGGAGAGUGGAAUUCAUGGUGUAGCAGUGAAAUGCGUAGAGAUCAUGAGGAAGACCAGUGGCGAAGGCGGGUCUCUGGACAGUUCCUGACACUGAGGCACGAAGGCCAGGGGAGCAAACGGG
rnacentral:rRNA from 1 species